AACCCUACGAUCGAUGCCUCGUGCCCACAGCAGAUCGUUCUCCGCCGCCAACCAGCCCUUCGCACGCCCGAUCCAUCCCUUCGCCCCCGCCGGACAUCCAUCCCUGUGCCGCGGCCGAUCCUAACCUUGGCCGUCGCCCACUCCCGUCGAUCCCAUCUAUCGUUGCCGCUGCAGCCGCCGCAAAAAAAAUCCAUCGACCCCUCCCAUCGAUCGUUGCCGCCGCCGCCGUCCGAGGGGCAGACGCCGCCGCCGCCGCCACCGUCCGAGGGGCAGACGCCGCCGCCGCCGCCACCGCCGCAGUACAAGGGGGAGACGCCGCCGCCGCCGCUGCAAGGCAUGGCGGUUUGAAUCCCGCCCCCGCCGCUGCAAGGCAUGCUCACCAAGAUGUUCGGCGAGGCCGGCGACUACGACGGCAUCCAGUUCGUCUUCAAGAAGAUGCGGGAGGUUGGCAUCAAGCCCUAAAUCUUCGUCUACAACGCUUUGCUCGAGGCGAUCGGCAAGACCGGCAAGUUGGGGCUGGCCCGCAGCCUGUUCGAGGAAAUGUCCGCCGAGGGGGUCGAGCCCAACGAGCGCACACCGCGGUGGCCAAGAUCUGUUGCCGGGCACGCUGGGGACGCGACGUGCUCCAGCUCUGGGACAAGAUGCGCGACAAGAAGAUCCCCGCUCACAACAUCCUCUGGAACACGCAUGUGCGCCGACGUGGGGCUGGUGGCUGAGGCCGAGCAGUUCUUCGAGGAGAUGAAGCUGGACAAGUGGAGCUACACAGCCAUCAUCAACAUCUAUGGGAGCAUCAAGGACGCCAACCGCGCACUCCAGUUGUUUGUGGAAAUGCUACAGAGCGGCAUAGAGGCCAACAUAAUGAGCUACACCAUCGUGAUCCAGUGCCUCGGCAAGGCGAACAGGAUACAUGACGCCGUUCUUUGUAACCGCAUCUGGGUCAUAGACGUACAUUCUCACGUGCACACGCGUCACUGCCUACCGCUACCUUCCUUGCCGGCGGUGGACGGCGCCGCGUUUCCGGAUUAGGGGGGACUGGCCGAACCGCGACCGCGCCUUCGCCACGGCUGAGGGGAGCGAAAGCCACACCGCCGCACUCCCGGCCACGGGCCACAACCUGCGGGUCUUCGUCCGUCAGGGCCUGGACGCUUCUACUACUCCACUCCUUGUGCGAACACAUCGACACAUAUUAGCGCCCGACUGUGCCACCAAGCUCAAAUCAGGGGCUGCAAGAUUCCAUCACGAGUCUUCGUGUGGUGGUCUUGGUCUUGGAUUGUAAAGCCCGGUUUGGGAUUUUGCUACAACUGCUCAUUCAGUGAGGAUUCUGAUCGAAGAUGAUCAGAAGGAAAAAGGACUUUGCCCAAGUAACUCCAGCUGGUUAUAUUGACACACUAUAUGAAUGUAACGCCAUACAGAGGCAUGUUUCAUGUGUGGCAGAGGACUAGAGGUAAUUAAAACUUCAUGUGAGGAAGCAAUCUACAAAGUCAAGUGGAGCAAUAGCGUCCAAGCAGUCUUGUUGCUAUGUUCUUGCUUUUGCUGUACACAAAGAGGCCGGGAUUGAGCAAGGGCGCUGGAGAUAUUGUGUCAAUAGUGGGCAUCUUGAUGCAGUUGCGCUUGUCGAGGUUGAGCUUGUUCCCACGCAUGACUUGUAGUUGUAAACUUAUGCAUUUGGGGCUAUUAAAGGGAGGCAAUUGACGUGCAUGUCAAGAGGAGUUAUUCUGUGGCAACCCACAGAGUCAUGUUUGAUCAUUAAAAGAAAUGGCCACGGAUCCCCACGGACGCCGCCACUGCCGCGGAUCCCCACAGAUGAUGCAGACGCCGCCGAACAGAGCAGGAUGUGGUCGUGUUGCACUGAUUGGAGGAGACCGUGCCGGCUGUGCGCUGUUUGGAGGACGAACACAGGUUCACCGCCAUGGCUAUGAGAGGACGCAUUUGUGUUCAGUUGUUCGGGCAGAGGAGGCACUUUGUUGAAGCAUCAAGUGAAUUGAAAUGUGCAAAUGCUCUUGGUGCCCAUUAGUUCUGUGUGUGAGUAAGAAAUCGUUUUCUUCUCCAUAGCUGAGAAACCAGUAAAGAAAUUAUGUGUCAGGAGCAAGAAUCUUUUUCGAUGAAAGCCGCUACCUUUCAUAGAUAAAUUGUGUUCCUUUUCAAGAAAGAAAUCCAUAGCCUUGAAUCAAUAGAUAUACAUAAGUUUUAUGUUGAUGUUAUCUACAAUAAGAGUACUUGAAAUUGAUAGAGUUGCCAUUAGAUUUUCCGAGAAGAGGCAGACAUUAUAUCACCUGUCCGUUUAAUCUUUCUCUGUUUAUUAUGUUGCUUCUCUUUUUUUGUCUUAUUCUUAUUCCAAUCAUUGCAUUAGGAUUCAUUGCCAAUUUAUUCGGUCCUUAUUUAAUUUGGAUGGUGCUGAACUAUUUUUGUGGUCCUUAUUUAAUUUGGAUGGUGCUGAACUAUUUUUGUGGUACCUGGUACCUUUCAUGAUCAAGAAGAGCUCACAUGUGACUAAAUAGACAUGGUGUAUUGUUUAAGCAUGCAUACUUGGCCUCUUUGGACUAUUAAUAGAAGCUUGUGUCCCCUUUGGACUAGGGAAGGUAUGUUAAAUUGUACCAACCAUGUCAUUAGACUGUAACAGAAGAAAAAAAUGUAUCAAAUUAUAUGUUUUUAUUUACUUCGAUCGGUAUGAAGGGCAGGUGACAUUCAUACUAAAAUUUUGGCUAUAAUCUAUUCAACCUGGUUGUAAAUCAUUGCAUGGUAAUGUUUCUAUGUGCAUAUUCUGGAUUGCUCUAUGCAAAUGCAUAAAACAGGGAAGGACCAUGCCGUGAGCUUAUUGAUAAAUCUGAGCAGCUAGCUAGGCUCUGUAGUAACAUCUUAACUGCCUGCUUAGAUUACUUAUCUGUUUGGUCAUUCCUUCUUUUUGCCUGCUUAGUAUAAACUGUAUGUUCUAUUCUGCAGCUCCUCCUGCUGCUAUAUUGACCUCUACUUGAAGUCGGGAGCCAAAUUGAAGAUCAAAUUCAGAUUGGAAGGUGAACUUCUGUUUUCUGCGAAGUUUAGAAUCUCGUUGUUUGCUAUGCCUGCCGGCUGCCGCUCAUGUACUGCACAUGCAGUGCUUUCAAAAGUGAGGCUAGGGCGCGGAGGUGAGGCCAAAUUGGCGUGUGAAUGUAAGGAUUGAAAUGAGAUAGUUAUCUUCUUUCAGUUGUUUGCUUCUGCUUAUUGAUAGAGAUAAUGAUUCCCUAUUUAGUAGAGAUGCUGUCACAUAUUAAUAUUGGGAAUUAUCUAUAGUUCAUUUGAUGUUCAUAUCUCCAUCCUAGCGACCGCUUUGUCCAUGGCGUUUUUAUCGCAUCCACCCAGGUCAGUAUGAAACAAGAACGCACAUCUAUGUUGUAUUUGCUUUAUAGUAAUACAGGUUUAGGUGGUCAGUCGCCCUAUGUUGUUUGCAUCAAAAACGUUCUUUGCAUGGUGCGCACGGCAGCAAUUCAUUGUUCGAAGCAGUGAAGCGAUGUAAAAAAUGUGCAUCGGCGGUUGUGAAUAGCAUCCGUCAUUUUUCGUAGUCCUCUUAGUUAUGUACCAGCGCAGAUGUUGUGUACCGAAAGUAGGAGCAAUCAAGUUGUUUUUUCUCUGACAAGGAGGCAAGCUGGCCUUGUUGUGCUAUGCUCAUCUCAAAUUGUAUGCUGAGUCUACUUAUUUUAGCUUAACGUAGGUUUUGGCAGCAAGAAACACUUGCAAAUGUAUGUCUUCUGGAUAUAAGUAUCUGCUCUAGAAGAUAUAUAUAGAUAGCCAUCACAAUAACUGGGGAU